GUAGUUAGCCGGGGCUUCCUCCUUGGCUACCGUCACUUUCUUCGUCACCAAGGACAGAGGUUUACAACCCGAAAGCCUUCUUCCCUCACGCGGCGUUGCUGGGUCAGGCUUGCGCCCAUUGCCCAAUAUUCCCCACUGCUGCCUCCCGUAGGAGUCUGGACCGUGUCUCAGUUCCAGUGUGGCCGAUCAGCCUCUCAGCUCGGCUACCCAUCGUCGACUUGGUGGGCUGUUACUCCGCCAACUAUCUAAUGGGACGCGAACCCCUCUUAUACCGGAUUGCUCCUUUGACCUCAUCCCGAUGCCGGGUCGUGGUCUUAUGCGGUAUUAGCAACCGUUUCCGGUUGUUAUCCCCCUGUACAAGGCAGGUUGUUCACGCGUUACUCACCCGUUCGCCACUAAGUUAUCAACCGAAAUCAAUAACUCCGUUCGACUUGCAUGUGUUAGGCACGCCGCCAGCGUCGUCUCUAGCACUGAUCAACUACUACGACUACGAGACGGCGUCGGCGAGGACGGCGACGUAGA
rnacentral:rRNA from 1 species